UAACAUUACGCGGCGACGUUUUACAAGAUGGUUACUUAAGUAACUUGGUUAAGCCGAGGUAAGGCGAUUGGAAUUGCCGCAGUUCUAAGUCUGCCUCGGUUUUGCUAG
rnacentral:ncRNA from 1 species